UCUCUGUUAGUAUAUCGGUUAGUACACGCGCCUGUCAGGCGUUUACCAGAUCGCGCGAAAGCUGGGUUCGACUCCCAGACAGAGAG
rnacentral:tRNA from 1 species